rnacentral:ncRNA from 1 species
AAACGGGUACGUAAAAACACGGUUCGGUUGGUAGUCCGAACGCAUGGUCAUAACUUUGUCCAUGUCAGUAACCUUCCCCCCUCGGGAUGUCCAUCGUUACCCGUAAUACUU